rnacentral:rRNA from 1 species
AUACGAAGGGUGCAAGCGUUACUCGGAAUUACUGGGCGUAAAGCGUGCGUAGGUGGUUGUUUAAGUCUGUCGUGAAAGCCCUGGGCUCAACCUGGGAAUGGCGAUGGAAACUGGGCGACUAGAGUGUGGCAGAGGGUAGUGGAAUUCCUGGUGUAGCAGUGAAAUGCGUAGAGCUCAGGAGGAACAUCCGUGGCGAAGGCGACUGCCUGGGCCAACACUGACUCUGAGGCACGAAAGCGUGGGGAGCAAACAGGAUUAGAUACCCUGGAAGUCCACGCCCUAAACGAUGCGAACUGGAUGUUGGGUGCAAUUUGGCACGCAGUAUCGAAGCUAACGCGUUAAGUUCGCCGCCUGGGGAGUACGGUCGCAAGACUGAAACUCAAAUGAAUUGACGGGG